GCGAAAUAGAAUGGUGGGCUUCCGCCAUUUACGACGGGUGUUAGGUGAGAAAUGAGCUUCACUCAGCCUCGUUUAAUCUCUUAUCUAUUUUUUAACUUCUCUUUAAUCAAAUCUACUGAUAAGUGUUUUGAUUUUUUUUAAUAGCUUUUUCAAACAUGUACAAAUACAUCCCAUUUUUUUCUUUUAGUAUGACAAAACAUUCGACCAACUUUUAUGUAUAAACUAAAUCUUGAUUCUUGACCAUGACCAUCGUGAUAAUAAGUACAAGACGACGACCAACACCGUGUUUAAAUUUAUAAAGACUCUACGUACGCGGUUCAAGAGAAAUAUUUGUG
rnacentral:lncRNA from 1 species